AGCGAACGUUAGCGGCGGGCCUAACACAUGCAAGUCGAGCGAGAAAGUGGCUUCGGCCAUCAGUAAAGCGGCGGACGGGUGAGUAACACGUAGGUAAUCUUCCCUUGAGCGGGGGACAACGUUUCGAAGGGAACGCUAAUACCGCAUACGUUUUCAGGGACUCUGGUCCUUGGAAGGAAAGCUAGGUCGGGCGUUAAACCCCGGUCCGGCACUCGAGGAGGAGCCUGCGUCGCAUCAGCUAGUUGGUGGGGAACGGCCUACCAAGGCGAAGACGCGUAGCUGGUCUGAGAGGAUGAUCAGCCACACUGGGACUGAGACACGGCCCAGACUCCUACGGGAGGCAGCAGUGGGGAAUAUUGGACAAUGGGCGCAAGCCUGAUCCAGCCACGCCGCGUGAGUGAUGAAGGCCUCGGU
rnacentral:rRNA from 1 species